AGAAAGUUUUUGUCAUGGCCUUGGAGCUGUGCUGUUCAUCUGCUGUAAGAAUGAAAAAAGUGAUGGUCUUACUCUCCUAACAGACAUAAAAAUAAAAGCAGUUUCAAGUUCCCUUUGUUGCUCCAGACUGAACUAGAUGGGACCUUGUAGCAACUGUCACAAAAAGUCAGAAUGCUGGAAUUAAAGGAAAGAAAAGUGAGGGAGGAGAAAGUAUUCUUGUGACCUAAUGCAGAACAGCAAACAGAGAAGACAGCAGGGAAAAUUCCACCCUGUGAGGGAUGCCCAGCUCAUUCUGCCCUCUGGAGUGCCAGCAGACACAGCACAGUGCCUCACCAGAGGCAGCAAAUUCCCUGGAAAACUGCAUUUGGGAACCUGUGCAGCCAGGAGCAGCUGGAAUAAGAGUCUGGACAAGGAAACUUGGCCCUCUCUGAAUCUGGGGGACACUUUGCUGGCAAGAAAAGCCAAAUUUGGCUGCUUUGUGUCUCAAACAUGUGAGAUGGCUACAACAGGAAAAGUAUCAAUGUCACCUUACAAAGCUCCUCAUCUGCUAAGAAGAAAAAAAAAGAUUAUUAGAACUGACAUAGGACCUGGCUUUUCAAAGCUAUUCUAUUUCUUGUAAGUAUUUUUUAUUGA